UACAGAGGGUGCGAGCGUUGUUCGGAAUUAUUGGGCGUAAAGGGCGCGUAGGCGGUGCCACAAGUCACCUGUGAAAUCCCCGGGCUUAACUCGGGGCCUGCAGGCGAAACUGUGGUGCUGGAGUAUGGGAGAGGUGCGUGGAAUUCCCGGUGUAGCGGUGAAAUGCGUAGAUAUCGGGGGGAACACCUGUGGCGAAAGCGGCGCACUGGACCAUAACUGACGCUGAGGCGCGAAAGCUAGGGGAGCAAACAGG
rnacentral:rRNA from 1 species